rnacentral:rRNA from 1 species
GACAGCAGUCGCCGCGGGAAUACGAAGGGGGCUAGCGUUGCUCGGAAUGACUGGGCGUAAAGGGCGCGUAGGCGGUUUAUACAGUCAGAUGUGAAAUUCCUGGGCUCAACCUGGGGACUGCAUUUGAUACGUAUGGACUUGAGUGGAGAAGAGGGUCGUGGAAUUUCCAGUGUAGAGGUGAAAUUCGUAGAUAUUGGAAAGAACACCGGUGGCGAAGGCGGCGACCUGGUCUUUAACUGACGCUGAGGCGCGAAAGCGUGGGGAGCAAACAGGAUUAGAUACCCCGGUAGUCCCUGUCUCUUAUAC